UAGACAUAGAGAUGUUUUGUCUCUUCUCACCUUUCUUACCCAAUGCAAUACCAUUGCUCCCGUGGCAGGGCACUCGUCUAGAAUCGAUGCAUGCACCAUCAUAUCAU